rnacentral:rRNA from 1 species
AUAUGGUCAAGUGAAGAAGCGCAUACGGUGGAUGCCUUGGCAGUCAGAGGCGAUGAAAGACGUGGUAGCCUGCGAAAAGCUUCGGGGAGUCGGCAAACAGACUUUGAUCCGGAGAUGUCUGAAUGGGGGAACCCAGCCAUCAUAAGAUGGUUAUCUUACGCUGAAUACAUAGGCGUAAGAGGCGAACCAGGGGAACUGAAACAUCUAAGUACCCUGAGGAAAAGAAAUCAACCGAGAUUCCCUUAGUAGUGGCGAGCGAACGGGGACUAGCCCUUAAGUGGCUUUGAGAUUAGCGGAACGCUCUGGAAAGUGCGGCCAUAGUGGGUGAUAGCCCUGUACGCGAAAAUCUCUUAGUCAUGAAAUCGAGUAGGACGGAGCACGAGAAACUUUGUCUGAAUAUGGGGGGACCAUCCUCCAAGGCUAAAUACUACUGACUGACCGAUAGUGAACUAGUACCGUGAGGGAAAGGCGAAAAGAACCCCGGAGAGGGGAGUGAAAUAGAUCCUGAAACCGUAUGCGUACAAGCAGUGGGAGCCUACUUUGUUAGGUGACUGCGUACCUUUUGUAUAAUGGGUCAGCGACUUAUUUUCAGUGGCGAGCUUAACCGAAUAGGGGAGGCGUAGCGAAAGCGAGUCUUAAUAGGGCGUCUAGUCGCUGGGAAUAGACCCGAAACCGGGCGAUCUAUCCAUGGGCAGGUUGAAGGUUGGGUAACACUAACUGGAGGACCGAACCGACUACCGUUGAAAAGUUAGCGGAUGACCUGUGGAUCGGAGUGAAAGGCUAAUCAAGCUCGGAGAUAGCUGGUUCUCCUCGAAAGCUAUUUAGGUAGCGCCUCAUGUAUCACUGUAGGGGGUAGAGCACUGUUUCGGCUAGGGGGUCAUCCCGACUUACCAAACCGAUGCAAACUCCGAAUACCUACAAGUGCCGAGCAUGGGAGACACACGGCGGGUGCUAACGUCCGUCGUGAAAAGGGAAACAACCCAGACCGUCAGCUAAGGUCCCAAAGUUAUGGUUAAGUGGGAAACGAUGUGGGAAGGCUUAGACAGCUAGGAGGUUGGCUUAGAAGCAGCCACCCUUUAAAGAAAGCGUAAUAGCUCACUAGUCGAGUCGGCCUGCGCGGAAGAUGUAACGGGGCUCAAACCAUACACCGAAGCUACGGGUAUCACGUAAGUGAUGCGGUAGAGGAGCGUUCUGUAAGCCUGUGAAGGUGAGUUGAGAAGCUUGCUGGAGGUAUCAGAAGUGCGAAUGCUGACAUGAGUAACGACAAUGGGUGUGAAAAACACCCACGCCGAAAGACCAAGGUUUCCUGCGCAACGUUAAUCGACGCAGGGUUAGUCGGUCCCUAAGGCGAGGCUGAAAAGCGUAGUCGAUGGAAAACAGGUUAAUAUUCCUGUACUUCUGGUUAUUGCGAUGGAGGGACGGAGAAGGCUAGGCCAGCUUGGCGUUGGUUGUCCAAGUUUAAGGUGGUAGGCUGAGAUCUUAGGUAAAUCCGGGAUCUUAAGGCCGAGAGCUGAUGACGAGUGUUCUUUUAGAACACGAAGUGGUUGAUGCCAUGCUUCCAAGAAAAGCUUCUAAGCUUCAGGUAACCAGGAACCGUACCCCAAACCGACACAGGUGGUUGGGUAGAGAAUACCAAGGCGCUUGAGAGAACUCGGGUGAAGGAACUAGGCAAAAUGGCACCGUAACUUCGGGAGAAGGUGCGCCGGUGAGGGUGAAGGACUUGCUCCGUAAGCUCAUGCCGGUCGAAGAUACCAGGCCGCUGCGACUGUUUAUUAAAAACACAGCACUCUGCAAACACGAAAGUGGACGUAUAGGGUGUGACGCCUGCCCGGUGCCGGAAGGUUAAUUGAUGGGGUUAGCUAACGCGAAGCUCUUGAUCGAAGCCCCGGUAAACGGCGGCCGUAACUAUAACGGUCCUAAGGUAGCGAAAUUCCUUGUCGGGUAAGUUCCGACCUGCACGAAUGGCGUAACGAUGGCGGCGCUGUCUCCACCCGAGACUCAGUGAAAUUGAAAUCGCUGUGAAGAUGCAGUGUAUCCGCGGCUAGACGGAAAGACCCCGUGAACCUUUACUAUAGCUUUGCACUGGACUUUGAAUUUGCUUGUGUAGGAUAGGUGGGAGGCUUUGAAGCGUGGACGCCAGUCUGCGUGGAGCCAACCUUGAAAUACCACCCUGGCAACUUUGAGGUUCUAACUCAGGUCCGUUAUCCGGAUCGAGGACAGUGUAUGGUGGGUAGUUUGACUGGGGCGGUCUCCUCCUAAAGAGUAACGGAGGAGUACGAAGGUGCGCUCAGACCGGUCGGAAAUCGGUCGUAGAGUAUAAAGGCAAAAGCGCGCUUGACUGCGAGACAGACACGUCGAGCAGGUACGAAAGUAGGUCUUAGUGAUCCGGUGGUUCUGUAUGGAAGGGCCAUCGCUCAACGGAUAAAAGGUACUCCGGGGAUAACAGGCUGAUACCGCCCAAGAGUUCAUAUCGACGGCGGUGUUUGGCACCUCGAUGUCGGCUCAUCACAUCCUGGGGCUGAAGCCGGUCCCAAGGGUAUGGCUGUUCGCCAUUUAAAGUGGUACGCGAGCUGGGUUUAGAACGUCGUGAGACAGUUCGGUCCCUAUCUGCCGUGGACGUUUGAGAUUUGAGAGGGGCUGCUCCUAGUACGAGAGGACCGGAGUGGACGAACCUCUGGUGUUCCGGUUGUCACGCCAGUGGCAUUGCCGGGUAGCUAUGUUCGGAAUAGAUAACCGCUGAAAGCAUCUAAGCGGGAAACUAGCCUCAAGAUGAGAUCUCACUGGAACCUUGAGUUCCCUGAAGGGCCGUCGAAGACUACGACGUUGAUAGGUUGGGUGUGUAAGCGCUGUGAGGCGUUGAGCUAACCAAUACUAAUUGCCCGUGAGGCUUGACCAU